GAUGAACGCUGGCGGCGUGCUUAAUACAUGCAAGUCGAACGGAGAGUUAGCAAUAGCUCUUAGUGGCGAACGGGUGAGUAACACGUUGGUGACCUGUCCCGUAGAAGGGGAUAACAGUUCGAAAGGACUGCUAAUACCCUAUGUGGUUAUCGAGGCUAGAGGCUUGGUAACUGAAGGAGAAAUCCGCUAUGGGAGGGGCCUGCGUCCCAUCAGCUAGUUGGUAGGGUAAAGGCCUACCAAGGCGAAGACGGGUAGGGGACCUGAGAGGGUGAUCCCCCACACUGGCACUGAAACACGGGCCAGACACCUACGGGUGGCUG
rnacentral:rRNA from 1 species